AUGAUAUUCCCCACCAUAUCUCUAAUGCGCCUCUCUAGCUCUAUGUUAUCAUCCUCCAAAGGAUAUGUCCAACUAACAAUCCAAUCCGCAUCACCUCUAUCGCUCCUAACUGAUCCGCUCACCAAAGUGUAUAUUUCUAAAUACAAUAUCUACCGAAGCCUUGAAGAAAGAGAGAUAAUAGGCAGGAAGAUUGUACAAGAGGAAUGA